rnacentral:rRNA from 1 species
GAUUAACGCUAGCGGCAGGCAUAAUACAUGCAAGUUGAACGGCAGCACAGGUAGCAAUACUGGGUGGCGAGUGGCGCACGGGUGCGUAACACGUAUGCAACCUACCCUAUACAGGCGAAUAACCUUUAGAAAUGAGGGCUAAUACGCCGUAGUAUUACAGAUGGGCAUCUAUUUGUAAUUAAAGAUUUAUCGGUAUAGGAUGGGCAUGCGUCCCAUUAGUUAGUUGGUAAGGUAACGGCUUACCAAGACGAUGAUGGGUAGGGGAUCUGAGAGGACUUACCCCCACACGGGGACUGAGACACGGACCAGACUCCUACGGGAGGCAGCAGUAAGGAAUAUUGGGCAAUGGCCGCGAGGCUGACCCAGCCAUGCCGCGUGCAGGAAGACGGCCUUAUGGGUUGUAAACUGCUUUUAUACGGGAAUAAUAGAGUGUACGCGUACAUUUAUGCAAGUAUCGUAUGAAUAAGCAUCGGCUAACUCCGUG